rnacentral:tRNA from 1 species
UCCCCGGUAGCUCAACGGUAGAGCGUUCGGCUGUUAACCGAAAUGUUGUAGGUUCAAGUCCUACCCGGGGAGCCA